GAUGAACGCUGGCGGCGUGCCUAAUACAUGCAAGUCGAGCGAACGGACGAGAAGCGUUCUUCUCUGAUGUUAGCGGCGGACGGGUGAGUAACACGUGGAUAACCUACCUAUAAGACUGGGAUAACUUCGUGAAACCGGAGCUAAUACCGGAUAAUAUUUUGAACCGCAUGGUUCAAAAGUGAAAGACGGUCUUGCUGUCACUUAUAGAUGGAUCCGCGCUGCAUUAGCUAGUUGGUAAGGUAACGGCUUACCAAGGCAACGAUGCAUAGCCGACCUGAGAGGGUGAUCGGCCACACUGGAACUGAGACACGGUCCAGACUCCUACGGGAGGCAGCAGUAGGGAAUCUUGCGCAAUGGGCGAAAGCCUGACGGAGCAACGCCGCGUGAGUGAUGAAGGUCUUCGGAUCGUAAAACUCUGUUAUUAGGGAAGAACAUAUGUGUAAGUAACUGUGCACAUCUUGACGGUACCUAAUCAGAAAGCCACGGCUAACUACGUG
rnacentral:rRNA from 1 species